GGCAUCAUAGCUAAGUGGUUACAGCGACAGAUUAGAAUCUACGUUGUCACAUGACCUAACAUCAUGUGACUAACGAUCUGUUCCUCUUUGAGGGCGCAGGUUCGAAUCCUGCUGAUGUCG